UACAGAGGUCCCAAGCGUUGUUCGGAUUUACUGGGCGUAAAGGGUGCGUAGGUGGUGAGGUAAGUCUAAUGUGAAAUCUCCGAGCUUAACUCGGAAACUGCAUCGGAUACUAUCUCGCUCGAGGGUUGGAGGGGAGACUGGAAUACUUGGUGUAGCAGUGAAAUGCGUAGAUAUCAAAGUGGAACACCAGUGGCGAAGGCGAGUCUCUGGGGCAACAACUGACGCUGAGGAGCGAAAAGCUGGGGGAGCGAACAGG
rnacentral:rRNA from 1 species